GGGCGGGUCUAUUAUGUAGGAGUACUCUGCAAAGGUACUAGAGGGAAUUGAUUCCCCCCGCCCU
rnacentral:tRNA from 1 species